AUUGAACGCUGGCGGCAUGCCUUACACAUGCAAGUCGAACGGCAGCACGGGAGCUUGCUCCUGGUGGCGAGUGGCGAACGGGUGAGUAAUACAUCGGAACGUACCCUGAAGUGGGGGAUAACGUAGCGAAAGUUACGCUAAUACCGCAUAUUCUGUGAGCAGGAAAGAGGGGGAUCGCAAGACCUCUUGCUUUAGGAGCGGCCGAUGUCGGAUUAGCUAGUUGGUGAGGUAAAGGCUCACCAAGGCGACGAUCCGUAGCGGGUCUGAGAGGAUGAUCCGCCACACUGGGACUGAGACACGGCCCAGACUCCUACGGGAGGCAGCAGUGGGGAAUUUUGGACAAUGGGCGCAAGCCUGAUCCAGCCAUGCCGCGUGAGUGAAGAAGGCCUCGGUUGUAAGGUACUACUUCGUCCGGGAGGAAAGUACGUAAUGGUUAAGUAACCUACGUUGCGGAGUG
rnacentral:rRNA from 1 species